AACAUCCAGCAAAAAAUGUAUCUUAACACAAGCAAAAUGCAUUGACAUACAUUCAGGUUUGCUUCUCUGUUAGUAUCUCCACAGCUGUAGGUCUCUGUCAGUGCAUUAUUCAGAAAACUCCUUGGUAGCCAAAUGAAGAGGCAAACACAGAUAAUGAUGAUGAUGAUGGUCAUGACAUACAUAGUUGAACCACUUCAAGAGGAAUGCCAGCCUAAGAUCUCCUGCUACCUGACGUCCAUCAAACAUUUCUCUUGAGUUAGGCUGGCAAAACACAAAACAAAAGAAAACAAAAAUCAACAUGAGUGAAGACGAGAUGCGUCUGCAUCAGAGGGCUGAGUGACUGAUACAGUUUCUCUUUCACUGUGCUUCGAAAAGUGAAAUAAUUAAGAUAGAUGGGCAGAUGAAUUAGUUGUCUUCCAAGGUCAAACGCUGAUUGCCUUAUUACUCUAUUACUCCACUGUUGUGAAACUGUUACCGCUGACACUUUUUCAUGAUAUUCUUUACAUCCACAAAAGAGAAAGGAAUGAGUGAAGAAGUGAGAGAGAUACAAAUUGAUUGUUUGGCGGCCAAAUCAGUCAUAGUCAUCUUGGGUGGAAGGAUUAAUGGGUCUGAUGGCUGUUGCAGGUUCAGGCAGGGAGACGGGCAGAAAACAAGAGAAAUUGGUUUGGGCCCCCGGGAGCUGAAUCGAUCUCCAGGUUUCCUCAAGUCUUCCAGAAAUGGGCCCAAGGAGGUUAGCAGCUGUGACAAAAAUCAAAAUCCAUUUUCUGUGGCCAAAUGUAAUGAGGACCAAAUGGUGGAUGUUCCAUUCAUCUCUCCGGCCUGUCUGAGCACUCUUAGGCCACAGGCAGCAGGCUUGUGAAGGCAGGUGUGAAAGCUGCGGGGAGUCUUAUGAGCAACCCCAUGAUGCUCUAUGUACAGGCAUGGCAUUUUUGCUAGUGUUUUUAUUGGAUAUAUAGUUAUUUUAUAUGUCUAUUUUUAUUAAAUCACCACAUCAAUCCAUGUGUGUGCAAGAUAAAUCGCUCUGGUUAGAGGUCCGUCUAAUCAGGCAUCACAAAAUAAACUCUAUUCUAUAGCUUCAGGAGUGGGACGUUGUUCCCUUGAAAUUGUUCCUAUUUGUGGACAAAAUAGGGUUUGCUUCGCAUACUGAAAAACAACAGAUGAAAAUUGCUCCAGGAUUAUGACUGAGAGCCCCUCUUCAAUCUUCAGAAAGCACACCCACACAAAAUCUGGCUGAGCAAUUCACUAUGGUGAAGUUAGACCUUUUGUGCGACCAGAAUAUAUUUCUCUCCUUCACAACCGAAUUCAUGUAAAAUUAAUCAACACCCCACUGUAAUUCCAAAUAUUUGCCACACGGACUGAUUGGGGUCAACGGCUCAGUUUGACAUCAGGAGAGCGCAAACUCCCCAUCAUGAUUGAUUGCCAGCAUAGUCACACAUAUUAUUAUGAAAUGAGUUUAUUAGCUUUGAAUCUGUUGGUUAUGCACCGCUGUUUUAGGCCUUGUGUGCAAUUUUCAGAGGCAAGCGUGGAUCACGAGAGUCAUGAAGGCUUGAUGAUGUCAUUUUGGAACUCUCACCUGGUUAAUCUGGAAGAACUCUUGUUACAAUAGUGAUAAAAUAGGCCUGAACUACAGGAGAUUUCUGCCUGUGAUUUGUAUUUAGACUGAACACUCGGGAAUCUCACUGAGCACCAGUCAAGGCUCGUUAUUCCCUCAGAUAAACAGGCAGGUCAAUCAUAGACCACCAAGCCAAUUCCCAAUUCCUCUAUUUUAUUUUACAC